rnacentral:lncRNA from 1 species
GGAGAAGACGAUUGGACUGGAUAGCAGAGGUACGCCGCGGGAUUUGACGGAUCUGACGAAGGAGGCCUGGGCGGAAGGAGUGAACGAUCGGACUGGAUAGCAGAGGUACGCAUCGGGAUUUGACGGAUCUGACGAAGGAGGCCUGGGCGGAAGGAGUGGUGUUGUAGUGGACGAUUCCGAUACCGCCGAGUGCGGCCAUGGAGGCGGCCAUGGCGGACUCGGUGACGGUGUCCAUCGGAGAGGAGACGCAAGGGAUGGAGAGGCGGAUGUUGCGGGAGAGGGAGGUUGAGAGGGAGACGUCGUCGAUGGGGAAGUCGAUGUAGUGAGGAAGGAAGAUGACGUCGUCGUAGGUGUAGGAGUAGCCUUGGUUGAAGAGCUGCUUGCAGCCGAAUCCGUCUUCUUCCUCCAUGAUAUCCAAGAGUUUGCUCAUUGUUCCGGUGACGGCGAUGGUGGUGCGUAGGGUUUGGUGUUCAGUGCGGCGGGAAGAGUGAACUUAACCUACUCUACUUCUCCACUUGUACUAGGAGACGAAGAAGCCGUCUGACACACUGACUGAAUUUGUGGAUUUGGUGGGAAAUUAAAAGGAUAAUUACAUUAAGGUCAGUGAACUUGGCAACUAGCAUUAGUAGAACCAUCCAAUUUGUAAAAUUAAUAAACUAAUAGCUAGCCUUUUGUAUAAUUGACAAACUGGUAAUUAUGUUCAAUGGUUGUGACUUUGUGAGAUAUGAACGGGAGGCAGAACUGAAAUUUUAUGCUGCAUUGACAUUUGAUUCAAUGCAAUCUUACUCAACAUACCAUAUGCAUGCUCUGUCUUUGGUUGAACAUGCAUAGUCCACUGGCAAGAGCAAAGACUCACGCCAUUAUUGUUGCAAAUUAACGCUUUGUACUGCAGGAAAUAAGCUAGCUACAGUACAUAUAAACAUAAUCAAGUUACUGAUCUCAACUUCUUGUUUUGACUAUAUAUGGUGAAUAUGUAUCUUGUUAUUGCUGAUCAAGUUUCAUUCUUAUGGUGUAGUUACUGAAAUGUAGCUAAGCAGCAGCCAUAUAUUUCGAGCGAGGAAGCUACUCCAACUUGUGCGAGGGAAACCGAGGUUCGGCCAAAACGGUGAUCACCCACCAGAGUUCCGUCCACAAGAAUGGCAUGGAGAUCUGUCUUGUAGAACCUCUGCAUACAAGUUUUCACAUGAUAGAUCCCAUUGAAGUUCUUGUGGACUAUACUCCCGGAGGUGAUCACCAACUUGGCCGAACCUUGGUUGACCAUGCACAAGUUGCAGUAGUUUCCUUGCUCAAAAUGUAUGGCUGCUGCUGACUGAGCUGCGUCCAUUUUCCAGCAAAUGAAAAACUGAUCACAUCACUAAUUACUACACCAUAAGCAGAAGUUCACCUUGAAAAUGGGCAAAUGCAUGCAUCUUUAGAGAAAGAAAGUGCGAUUGUGAGGCAUGACUCACACCAAUGUGCUAUCACCUGUUUAAGUUACAAUGAAGAAACGAAAAAAGGCUGCAUCUUGCUGGAUUUUGAUGAAUCAAACCCGAACCAUGCAACUUUUGAGGACUUACUUUGAUAGAACAUCCCAACUGCGCUAUAAAAAGAUGCUUAGGAUGAAGAAUAUCCCAAAUCAAAUCUUAUGAGAACUGAUAACUUACUUGUAAUUUUCCCAACAGAGUCGGGAAUUCCAGAACCGUCUAGUAAACCUGAGCUCAAUCAAUCUCAGUCAUUCCACUUUGUGACAGGAUCAUUGGUAUCAUUAUCAAAGAAAUAGAGAGUCACCCUACUUACGAGUUUCUGAACGGCUUGGCAGUUCCUUUUGCAACUGCGUCAGAUGAAUGGACAGGUAAUCCAGGUUUGGAAACACGAUGAGAACAUUCGGAACAUCUGGCAUUGCGCUUCAUUAUGGGUUGUAAUUGCUUAAGUCUUUAGAGAAAUGGUUGUUGAUUUUGCAGUUAGGUAGAGGAAUGGUGUAUUAUACAGUUCAGGCUUUCCUUGAUAUGGCUGAAUGCUAAUGAAGGUGGUAAGAGAAUAAGUGCUUAUUAAGGAUUAAUAAUGAUUUACAUGGUAGAGUUCACCACUCAAAUGAGCAGAACCAUACAUAUAUGCAUCUUUAGAGAAAGUGCAACUGUUAAGCAUUACUCCCACCAAUGUGCUAUCACUUCAUUUAAGUUAUAAUAACCAAAUGGAAAAUGCUGCAUCUUUAAACUGUUUACAAAAAAUCAUCGAUCUUCCAGACGACCAGACUGAAUGAAUCAAACCUGAACCUAAAAGUAACCCAUUAAUUUUCUUCCUCUGCUUUCUCUGCUUAAUUACUGUUUUAUUAUAUUAGUGAACUAUGUAUUUUUGUUAUGUGUUAGAUAUGAUAACCCGCCAUGCACGCCAUCUAAUUCCAAAGCUAAGCAGCAUCAACAUAUCUCUGCCUUCACCAGCUAGCAACUUCACAACUAGUCCACACCUCAGUAGUAUACGAAGUGGCAACCAUCGUAGCCUGCAAAUUUGGAGAAACAUCAUUUAGUAACAUGAUAAGUUCAAGUGGGUGCU